GAUGAGCGCUGGCGGCGUGCCUAAUACAUGCAAGUCGAGCGAACGGACGAGAAGCUUGCUUUUCUGAUGUUAGCGGCGGACGGGUGAGUAACACGUGGAUAACCUACCUAUAAGACUGGGAUAACUUCGGGAAACCGGAGCUAAUACCGGAUAAUAUUUUGAACCGCAUGGUUCAAAAGUGAAAGACGGUCUUGCUGUCACUUAUAGAUGGAUCCGCGCUGCAUUAGCUAGUUGGUAAGGUAACGGCUUACCAAGGCAACGAUGCAUAGCCGACCUGAGAGGGUGAUCGGCCACACUGGAACUGAGACACGGUCCAGACUCCUACGGGAGGCAGCAGUAGGGAAUCUUCCGCAAUGGGCGAAAGCCUGACGGAGCAACGCCGCGUGAGUGAUGGAGGUCUUCGGAUCGUAAAACUCUGUUAUUAGGGAAGAACAUAUGUGUAAGUAACUGUGCACAUCUUGACGGUACCUAAUCAGAAAGCCACGGCUAACUACGUG
rnacentral:rRNA from 1 species